CCGGAGGAGCUGGUGGUGGCCGGCAGCAGGACGCCGUCCCCCAAGACACGGGCGGCGGAGCUGAUGAACCGAUUCCUCGGCAGCUCCGCUCCGGCGGUGUCGAUCCAGCUCGGGUACUUGGGCCACCUCGCCUACUCCCACACCAACCAGUCCCCCUUCGCUCCCAGGUUGAUCCUCUCCGUUCCUCCCAUAUAUUUAUCCUCGGCUCAAAUGAAAGAACAAAAGUUUCUGUCACCGUUCUUUCUGCUCUCUCUCUCUCUCUCUCUCUCUCUCUCUCNNNNNNNNNNNNNNNNNNNNUUUCUUCGUCUCUCUCUCUCUCUCUCUCUCUCUCUCUCUCUCUCUCUCUCUACCUUCACCGGGAAAGUGAUGAUCUCAGAAACGAAGCAGAUGCAUCCACGCAACUUAAUGCAGAGACGUGCAUGCACAAGUCAUAUAUCUAGGCAGCACGAGUAUAAAGAGAUCCCUGAAACGAUAGAUCUCACCAUCCAUUUCAGAUUCGAAAAGCAUCUGAUCUCCCCAAGCAGAAAUUUCUGCAUGCUAAUAUUGAUGAUGCAUCUGUCAUUCUGGAUCACUAGUGUUCCCUUGCUUACUGAUCCGAUUGCUGGGGAAGAGGAAGGGAAAUCGUAUGCAACGUUGGGUGGGGAUUUGUCUCUGUUGAUUGCCGACGCCCAAACUGUGGUGGGUUCGGUGGGGCCCAAACCGUGCGUCUAGUGUUUCCUACCAAUCAGAUUGUCCCAACCGUGCUGAUUUGUCUCUGUUGAUAGCUGACGCCCAUAGUUUUCGGAACUCGGUAUAGAAAAACCCACGCUCGUGACGCGUGGACUCCACUAAGCGAGAAAGGAAUAGACAACCACAUUAACUUUCUACGCGCACGUGGGGCCCACGUCCGUGCGUGUGGUUGGAUAAUAGCUAAGUCGGUCCGUCAUCCUUAUCCACACACUUCCCAGGAUUUGCACCUCUCUUGCUAAAUAUCUCGUCUUCUUUACCUUCAAAAGAUUCCCCUUACGUGUUCAUAUCUCGUGCCACAAAUAAUGGGCGCAUCCUCCGUAAAUACAUCUUCCAUCUUUAUGCCUUCAUUCAUUUGUCCCCAGUCAUGCGGGUUGAUAAUAUAUAUAUAUAUAUAUAUAUAUAUCGGAUCGAAUAACUUAAACUGAAAUCAUUAAAUCAAAUGAGGUGACGGAAAUAUGUUCAAAUGUACAAUUGAAUCGAGUAUACCACACGCCUAUGCUUAUUUCUUAGUCAAACCGACGUAUACGACACUCCAAGUGCGGCUUGGAUUUGGUUGAUGCAAUGAUGGACGCCUGUGC
rnacentral:lncRNA from 1 species